rnacentral:misc_RNA from 1 species
ACGCGAAUUGCCCUGCGCUCUUGCUGGAGUGAUUGUGCGUGGCUGCUUGGGCAGAGGGCCGCCAGCCACCACACAAGCCCGCCUUUGCGUUCUCUUUAUCGGUCUCAUCCCACUCUUCGCGUCUCUGCACAUGUGCCGAAACAGAAAAUAGAGGUUGAUGGUGUGACCGUGCGCUGACCGCGGUGACGGUGUUGUGCAUCUCUGCCGAACCCCUCCCCCUCCCCCCGCUUUUGUGGUCUCAUAUCGGCGGGCGGGUUGAGGCGCACGGCGUUUAUCGAUUCUUGUCUUGCCUUCGCGUACCGUCUCACAGGGUCCCUGUCGCCCCGCUCCGUUUCGCGUUCGUGUUUCUUUCCUUCUGUGCCCUUCUCCCCUCUUUUCGUCGUGCCGCAUUUUUCGCGUACUUUCUGAGUUUGCCGUGCCUGCUGCCUGCUUCCCUCCCCUCUCCGCCUCCUCCGGUACCGACGUGUACUCUGCGUGUGUGCGUGCCUGUCAUUGAAUGCGUUGAUUUCUACACAAACAGGAGCAGCGACUUUGAUGAACCGGUUGCUUUUUAGCCCACCACUACCGUCACCGCCGCCUGCAGCUCUGCUGCACUUGAGUGAAGUCCUGUUGCUAGGCCUCACCCUCGUAUCACUGGGGUGUCGCGCAUGGUGACGGGCCUCCGACCCAGCAGGCGACUUUGAUGAUGAGAUGGAGGAUCGGGAUGACAACGCACCACGAUCUGCAUCGCUGUUGAUACCUGCUACCCAUCUUGCUUCUCCCGCCGAGCGUGGCUUUGGCUCGACUUCGAGCGGCACAAACAGCGCUGGUGACGACAACGCCGUCGCGCCCGUAGGGCCCACAGAGGGUGUAAGUGCUGCUGCUGUGGGCGUCGCAGCGACGCCGGCGCCGUUCUCCCCGUUGGCUGCCGAAGAUCCGCUGCUUAUCCUUCUCAACCGCCUCCCACUCGAAAAGAAGCUUUUCAUCGCCGUGAAUUGGCUGUCGCUGGUGUCGACCUGCUUGACGUACUUCUUGCGCCCAUCUCAGGUGCUCUACACCUUUAUCUUCACGAGUGGCCACUCGGUUCUCCAUACGGCUCCCCACAGUCGCCGCUACCUACACCCGCGCCCUGACUCGCUCUCCACUCGCCGGCCGUCAGCGCUGCACGCCUCGCUGUCAGGUGGGCCGACGCGCGAGGCCACCUGCAAGCGCUGGGAAGCGGUCUCGAAGGCAACAGGAACGACAUCGGAGGUGCAGGCAAGAGACACAAUGGCGUGUCGCAGCAGCAGCCCCCCCCCCCCCGGGUCGCUGUAAUGGUGCCCCCGCCAUCAGCGCGCUUGCCCUUCAAGAGCAUCCCCAACGCUGUGCUUGAGCGCCGUCAAAAUAUGGGAGAUGGCUACCACUCGCGCGGUUCCUGCGGGACGGAGCGCGGAAUAGCGGAUGUCCUCUUGGCAAGGAAGGACUGGGCGGCGGCGCAACGACUCUCCUCGUCCCCGACGCCGACCUCGCGGCGGCUGCGGUUUCGACUCUGCUGGUACGCGCACCGCCGUGGGGCGCUGGCCCAGACAUACCUCUUGUGGCUACUCCUCUUCAACUUACUUAUUACCGCGAUGCUCUUCAUAUUCCACUGGUACCAUCUCUUCUUCGAACUUGAUACGCUCUUCGGGUACGUGGCAGCCGUCACCUCCGUCUUUCUGUGUGGGAUGGAGAUGGAGUGCAUUGUGGUGCACCUGAGGCGGCGGUGGCAGCGUGGUCGCAAGGCUCAGACACGAGGUGAGGGGGCUGCUGCUGAUGCUCUCUCAAGCACAGACGACGUUAUGCACCAACCGGACCCGUGCGGCGCCAUCCAAGGGCCGCCAGUGGCGUUUCUUGGCGAGCACCUUAUCUCCUGUGCCUGUGCUGCCCUGUAUGUGCGGACGCUCCUCGACGAAGGGGAUGUGUUGUGGGUGUCGCACACGGCAUUGGUACAGUGGCAUGUGUGCUCGCUCGCCUUCGUGGUCCUCUCACUCCUCAAGUGUCUUCGCGUGUUGUUCUAGUGCUCGGCGGCAUCAAGGAGAGGAAAGCGAGCACACAGAAGAC